GCGCUCGUAGCUCAACGGAUAAAGCGUCCUCUCGGCGCCGCGGUUGGGGGUUCGAGUCCCUCCGAGCGCGCCA
rnacentral:tRNA from 1 species